GUGACAGAGUGAGAGAGAGGGUGACUAGUGACAGAGUGAGGGAGGGGGUGACUAGUGACAGAGUGAAGGAGGUGGUGACUGUCACUAGUCUCCCUCACUCUGUCACUAGUCACCCCUCCCUCUCUCUGUCACUAGUCACACCCUCCCUCACUCUGUCACU